rnacentral:rRNA from 1 species
CAGCAGCCACGGUAAUACCGAGGGUGCGAGCGUUAAUCGGAUUUACUGGGCGUAAAGCGUGCGUAGGCGGCUUCUUAAGUCGGAUGUGAAAUCCCUGAGCUUAACUUAGGAAUUGCAUUCGAUACUGGGAAGCUAGAGUAUGGGAGAGGAUGGUAGAAUUCCAGGUGUAGCGGUGAAAUGCGUAGAGAUCUGGAGGAAUACCGAUGGCGAAGGCAGCCAUCUGGCCUAAUACUGACGCUGAGGUACGAAAGCAUGGGGAGCAAACAGGAUUAGAUACCCCCGUAGUCCCUGUCUCUUAUAA